rnacentral:misc_RNA from 1 species
UCUCCGUAGGUGAACCUGCGGAGGGAUCACUCCAGGCUUGCAAAUGAUCUGAAACCACUGUUUAUCUACCUGAAUCUGCUUCGGCGGGCGGGCCCUUGGCGGGGGAGUUGGCCCAAGGCGCCCGCCUAAUACCUCUACACUUUGUCGGCUUGAGAAUAUCUGAGAACCAUAUAAAACAAAAAAACAACUAUCAACAACGGAUCCCCUGGCUCUGGCAUCGAUGAAAAACGCACCAGAUAGGAAGCGCACACACCCGAACCACCGAUACCCAUAUCGAAU